GGCAGGGUGGUUUGGGGGUUAGCACGUUUGCCUCGCACCUCCAGGGUUGAGGGUUCAACUCCCUCCUCUGCCC